GACGAACGCUGGCGGCGUGCUUAACACAUGCAAGUCGCACGAAGUGGCGAACGGGUGAGUAAUACGUGGGUAACCUGCCCUCCUUUUUGGGAUAAGCCUUGGAAACUGGGUCUAAUACCGAUUAAAGGGGGCUGGGCUCGCGGCCUAUCAGCUUGUGGGUGGGGUGAUGGCCUACCAGGGCGGUGACGGGUAGCCGGCCUGAGAGGGUGAACGGCCACAUUGGGACUGGGAUUCGGCCCAGAAUCGUACGGGAGGAAGCAGUGGGUGAUAUUGCACAAUGGGCGAAAGCCUGAUGCAGCGACGCCGCGUGGGGGAUGAAGGCUUUCGGGUUGUAAACCUCUGUUGUUAGAGAAGAAGGAUCUAACCAGAAAGCCACGGCUAACUACGUGCCAGCAGCCGCGGUAAUAC
rnacentral:rRNA from 1 species